rnacentral:rRNA from 1 species
AGCGAACGCUGGCGGCAGGCUUAACACAUGCAAGUCGAACGGGCACUUCGGUGCUAGUGGCAGACGAGUGAGUAACACGUGGGAACGUACCUUUCGGUUCGGAAUAAUUCAGGGAAACUUGGACUAAUACCGGAUACGCCCUUCGGGGGAUAGAUUUGUCGUCGAUAGAUCGGCCCGCGUCUGAUUAGCUAGUUGGUGAGGUAAUGGCUCACCAAGGCGACGAUCAGUAGCUGGUCUGAGAGGAUGAUCAGCCACAUUGGGACUGCGACACGGCCCAAACUCCUACGGGAGGCAGCAGUGGGGAAUAUUGGACAAUGGGCGCAAGCCUGAUCCAGCCAUGCCGCGUGAGUGAUGAAGGCCUUAGGGUUGUAAAGCUCUUUUGUCCGGGAAGAUAAUGACUGUACCGGAAGAAUAAGCCCCGGCUAACUUCGUGCCAGCAGCCGCCGUAAUAC